rnacentral:rRNA from 1 species
UACGUAGGGUGCAAGCGUUAAUCGGAAUUACUGGGCGUAAAGAGCUCGUAGGCGGUUUGUCGCGUCUGCCGUGAAAGUCCGGGGCUUAACCCCGGAUCUGCGGUGGGUACGGGCAGACUAGAGUGCAGUAGGGGAGACUGGAAUUCCUGGUGUAGCGGUGAAAUGCGCAGAUAUCAGGAGGAACACCGAUGGCGAAGGCAGGUCUCUGGGCAUUAACUGACGCUGAGGAGCGAAAGCAUGGGGAGCGAACAGG